AUACGACUCUCGGCAACGGAUAUCUCGGCUCUCGCAUCGAUGAAGAACGUAGCGAAAUGCGAUACGUGGUGUGAAUUGCAGAAUCCCGUGAACCAUCGAGUCUUUGAACGCAAGUUGCGCCCGAGGGACCCUCUCGAGGGCACGCCUGCCUCAUGGGCGUUAGAA
rnacentral:rRNA from 1 species